UCCCUGUUACCAGGGCAGUCUAGCCAGAGAAAUCCAACUGACUAAAAGGGUUGCGCUCGUUGAUGGACUUAACCAAACAUCUCACGACACGAGCUGACGACGGCCAUGCAACACCUGUCUCUACGGCCCGAAGGCACAAACUCCUUUCGGAGUUCUUAGUAGGAUGUCAAGCCUGGGUAAGGUUCUUCGCUUAUCCUCGAAUUAAACAACACGCUCCACCGCUUGUGCGGGUCCCCGUCAAUUCCUUUAUGUUUUAGCCUUGCGGCCGUACUCCACAGGCGGGAUGCUUAACGCGUUAGCUUCGCUACUACCAGGGUCGAUACUGAUAACAGCUAGCAUCCAUAGUUUACGGCGUGGACUAC
rnacentral:misc_RNA from 1 species